rnacentral:rRNA from 1 species
UGGUAGGAUAGCGUAAUUAACGCGAUGAAGGAUGACCGUAAGGACAUGUUGGAGCGUUAACUAGUGAGAAUUCCGGUAUGAGUAGCGAAAGAUAGGUGAGAAUCCUAUCCACCGAAUGAGUAAGGUUUCCCCCGGAAGGCUCGUCCGCGGGGGGUUAGUCGGGACCUAAGGCGAGGCUGAAAAGCGUAGUCGAUGGACAACAGGUUGAUAUUCCUGUACCGAUAUUUAAUUGCCGAAGGAAGGACGCAGAAGGAUAACACAGGCCACUAUUGGAUGUGGUUUUAAACAGUUAGUCUUCAUAAGAGUCAAAUGCUUUUAUGUUUAAGGAUAAGCUGUGAAUGUACCAAGUUUACUUGGAAAUUGUGUGAUUUCACGCUGCUGAAAAAAGUUUCGUAGGAAGAAAAUAUUGCCCGUACCGCAAACCGACACAGGUACUCAAGUGGAGAACACUAAGGUGAGCGAGUGAACUAUUGUUAAGGAACUCUGCAAAAUGAGUCCGUAACUUCGGAAGAAGGACUGCUGGUUUUAUACCAGCCGCAGCAAAUAGGCCCAAACAACUGUUUAUCAAAAACACAGGUUUCUGCAAAAUCGUAAGAUGAAGUAUAGGGGCUGACGCCUGCCCAGUGCUGGAAGGUUAAAAGGAGGACUUAGCUUCGGCGAAGGUCUUAAUUGAAGCCCCAGUGAACGGCGGCCGUAACUAUAACGGUCCUAAGGUAGCGAAAUUCCUUGUCGGGUAAGUUCCGACCCGCAUGAAAGGCGUAAUGAUUUGGGCGCUGUCUCAACAAUAGACUCGGUGAAAUUUAAAUUCCAGUGAAGAUGCUGGGUACCCGCGACAGGACGGAAAGACCCCGUGGAGCUUUACUGUAGCUUGAUAUUGAAUGUUUGUGCUGCAUGUGCAGGAUAGGUAGGAGACUUUGAAGUCGGAACGCUAGUUUCGAUUGAGUCACCCUUGAGAUACUAC